rnacentral:rRNA from 1 species
CCUACGGGUGGCUGCAGUGAGGAAUAUUGGUCAAUGGGCGCGAGCCUGAACCAGCCAAGUCGCGUGAGGGAGGACGGCUCUACGGGUUGUAAACCUCUUUUGCCGGGGAGCAAAGGGCGUCACGUGUGGCGCCACUGAGAGUACCCGGAGAAACAGCAUCGGCUAACUCCGUGCCAGCAGCCGCGGUAAUACGGAGGAUGCGAGCGUUAUCCGGAUUUACUGGGUGUAAAGGGCGUGCAGGCGGGAAGACAAGUCAGAUGUGAAAUCCCGCGGCUCAACCGCGGAACUGCAUUUGAAACUGUGUUUCUUGAGUAUCGGAGAGGUAAUCGGAAUUCCUAGUGUAGCGGUGAAAUGCGUAGAUAUUAGGAAGAACACCAGUGGCGAAGGCGGAUUACUGGACGACAACUGACGGUGAGGCGCGAAAGCGUGGGGAGCAAACAGGAUUAGAUACCCCUGUAGUC